rnacentral:rRNA from 1 species
UUCCCGGGCCUUGUACACACCGCCCGUCACACCACGAAAGUUGGCAAUACCGGAAGCCGGUGGCCUAACCCGCAAGGGAGGGAGCCGUCUAAGGUAGGGUCGAUGAUUGGGGUG